rnacentral:rRNA from 1 species
AACGAACGCUGGCGGCGUGCCUAACACAUGCAAGUCGUGCGAGAAAGUUCCUUCGGGAGCGAGUAAAGCGGCGCACGGGUGAGUAACACGUAGGUAACCUGCCCCCCAGUCUGGAACAACUAGAGGAAACUCUAGCUAAUGCCGGAUGAGACCACGAUCCCUUCGGGGGUUGCGGCCAAAAGAUGGCCUCUACUUGUAAGCUAUCGCUGAGGGAUGGGCCUGCGGGCCAUUAGCUUGUUGGUGAGGUAACGGCUCACCAAGGCUGUGAUGGCUAGCUGGUCUGAGAGGAUGACCAGCCACACUGGGACUGAGACACGGCCCAGACUCCU